GACUGUACAAAGGUAGCAUAAUCAUUUGUUAUUUAAUUGAUAACUGGAAUGAAAGGUUGGAUGAAAAAUAUACUUUCUUUAUUUUAAAUAAAUAAUUUAGUUUUUAAGUAAAAAAUCUUAAAUGUUUUUAUGGGACGAGAAGACCCUAUAGAAUUUUAUAUAACUUUUUAUGUUUAUAUUUUUGUAAUAUUGUUUUAUGAAUAUGUUUUGAUAUAUUUUGUUGGGGUGAUAGGGAAAAUUGAUUAACUUUUUUAAUUUUUUUCAUUUAUAUAUGUUUUGAUCCAUUUACUGUUGAUUGUUAGAUUAAAUUACCUUAGGGAUAACAGCGUUAUUAUUUUGGAGAGUUCAUAUCGAUAAAUUAGUUUGCGACCUCGAUGUUGGAUUAAAAUAAGUAUUAGGUGUAGCAUAUUAUAUACUAGGUCUGUUCGACCUUUAAACUUUUACA
rnacentral:rRNA from 1 species